GCGGGGGUAACCAAGCUUGGUCAAAGGUGCCAGACUCAAGAUCUGGUCCCGUAGGGGUUCAAGGGUUCAAAUCCCUUCCCCCGCACCA
rnacentral:tRNA from 1 species